GGAGCUGUGCCUGAAUAAAGGAUUACUUUGAUAGAGUAAAAAAUAAGGGUUAAAACCCCUUCAACUCCU
ensembl:Mt_tRNA